rnacentral:rRNA from 1 species
CCUUUGACGUUAGCGGCGGACGGGUGAGUAACACGUGGGUAACCUACCUAUAAGACUGGGAUAACUUCGGGAAACCGGAGCUAAUACCGGAUAAUAUUUCGAACCGCAUGGUUCGAUAGUGAAAGAUGGUUUUGCUAUCACUUAUAGAUGGACCCGCGCCGUAUUAGCUAGUUGGUAAGGUAACGGCUUACCAAGGCGACGAUACGUAGCCGACCUGAGAGGGUGAUCGGCCACACUGGAACUGAGACACGGUCCAGACUCCUACGGGAGGCAGCAGUC